UGACGGUACCUGACUAAGAAGCCCCGGCUAACUACGUGCCAGCAGCCGCGGUAAUACGUAGGGGGCAAGCGUUAUCCGGAUUUACUGGGUGUAAAGGGAGCGUAGACGGAGAAGCAAGUCUGAUGUGAAAGGCAUGGGCUCAACCUGUGGACUGCAUUGGAAACUGUUUUUCUUGAGUGCCGGAGGGGUAAGCGGAAUUCCUAGUGUAGCGGUGAAAUGCGUAGAUAUUAGGAGGAACACCAGUGGCGAAGGCGGCUUACUGGACGAUAACUGACGUUGAGGCUCGAAAGCGUGGGGAGCAAACAGGAUUAGAUACCCUG
rnacentral:rRNA from 1 species